GAUGAACGCUAGCGGCAGGCCUAAUACAUGCAAGUCGAGGGGCAUCACGAGUAGCAAUACUUGGUGGCGACCGGCGCACGGGUGCGUAACGCGUAUGCAAUCUACCUUCAACAGGGGGAUAACUCUGGGAAACCGGAACUAAUACCCCAUAGAAUUAUGAAUCGGCAUCGAUUUAUACUUAAAGAUUUAUUGGUUGGAGAUGAGCAUGCGUUCGAUUAGAUAGUUGGUGAGGUAAUGGCUCACCAAGUCCACGAUCGAUAGGGGUUCUGAGAGGAUGAUCCCCCACAUUGGUACUGAGACACGGACCAAACUCCUACGGGAGGCAGCAGUAGGGAAUAUUGGGCAAUGGACGCGAGUCUGACCCAGCCAUGCCGCGUGCAGGACUACGGCGCUAUGCGUUGUAAACUGCUUUUAUACUGGGGUAAUACUCACUACGCGUAGUGGGAUGAAAGUACAGUAAGAAUAAGGAUCGGCUAACUCCGUGCCAGCAGCCGCGGUAAUACGGAGGAUCCAAGCGUUAUCCGGAUUUAUUGGGUUUAAAGGGUGCGCAGGCGGAAUAGUAAGUCAGUGGUGAAAUCUCUCGGCUCAACCGGGGAACUGCCAUUGAUACUGCUAAUCUAGAUUACAGACGGCGUAGGCGGAAUAUGUCAAGUAGCGGUGAAAUGCGUAGAUAUGACAUAGAACACCGAUAGGGAAGCCAGCUUACGAGGCUGUAAAUGACGCUCAA
rnacentral:rRNA from 1 species